GAUGAACGCUGGCGGCGUGCCUAAUACAUGCAAGUCGAGCGAACAGACGAGGAGCUUGCUCCUCUGACGUUAGCGGCGGACGGGUGAGUAACACGUGGAUAACCUACCUAUAAGACUGGGAUAACUUCGGGAAACCGGAGCUAAUACCGGAUAAUAUAUUGAACCGCAUGGUUCAAUAGUGAAAGACGGUUUUGCUGUCACUUAUAGAUGGAUCCGCGCCGCAUUAGCUAGUUGGUAAGGUAACGGCUUACCAAGGCAACGAUGCGUAGCCGACCUGAGAGGGGGAUCGGCCACCAGGGAACGGGACCCGGGUCCAGACCCCGCGGGGGGGCAGCAGUAGGGAAUCUUCCGCAAGGGGGGAAAGCCUGACGGAGCAACGCCGGGGGAGGUAUGAAGGUUUUCGGAUCGUAAAACUUUUUUAUUAGGGAAAAAAAAAUGUGUAAGUAACCAUGCCCGUCUUGACGGUACCAAAUCAAAAAGCCACGGCUAACUACGU
rnacentral:rRNA from 1 species